CGGGGCCUACGGGACGCAGCAGUAGGGAAUUUUCGUCAAUGGGCGCAAGCCUGAACGAGCAAUGCCGCGUGAACGAGGAAGGUCUUCGGAUUGUAAAGUUCUGUUGAAGGGGAAAAAGAGCGGAGAGAGGAAAUGAACUCCGAUUGAUAUUACCCUUCGAGGAAGUCACGGCUAACUACGUGCCGGCAGCCGCGGUAAUACGUAGGUGGCGAGCGUUAUCCGUAAUGAUUGGGCGUAAAGGGUGCGUAGGCGGCCUGCUAAGUCUGGAGUGAA
rnacentral:rRNA from 1 species